rnacentral:tRNA from 1 species
UGGGAUACAGUUCAGCUGGUAGAAUGUUUGCCUCGCAUGCACAAAGCCCUGGGUUCAAUUCACAACACCACAA